GGCAGCUCCCAGUGUCAUGGAGACCACUGGAAGCUCAAGGAGCUGCUGGCACCCAGAAAGCAGCAGAAGAAAGAAGAGGCCAGUGGUCUUGGACUAGCUGAGCCAAUAGGGAUGUUUAUCACUGUGAUGUUUGGAGCGGGUUGCCGGGAGCUGGUGAACCCCUGGUGCAACCUGGUGAACUUCACUGUGCAUCUGAAACAGAAAGCUCGGGUUCCCCCAGGAGGAACCAUUGCCCUCCUGGCUGAAGAUGGGCACUUGGUGAAGUUAGAAGAGGAGACCACCCAGGCCCCAUCCAUGGCCUGUUGCCUGAUACAGGAACAAGUGACUUAUGUCCUGGUACAGAAGGGAAAGAUGGGACCCCUACUCACUAUGAGUCGCUCCUGGACAACCUGGAUGACCAGUAUCCAGAGUUAGCAGAGGAGCUGUGCUGCCUCUCUGGCUUUCCAACCACAAGCAAUGGUCAGAGAAGACGCACAGGCCUUCGACGUGGCCACCGGGAACAAGGUCCCCCGCCUUCAAGGUCUCGAAGGGUGACCUCCCUAUCAUCUAGAAACCGCUAACUGGAGCCAGAGCCAGGUACAGAAAAGCAGGUUCUAUGAGCCGGUACACCACAGCCAAGCUGGACUUGAAUCCAAGGGGACUGGCCCUGACCUCUGCUUUAUGAUCAACUGCAAACAGACAGCAAUCCAGCAGACAGCAAUCCAGCAGGACUCCUCUUCCAGGAUCUGGCGUUACUAAGAAGUUACAUCAGCAAGAAGGGAAAGGUCACAGACAGGAUGUGAGAGUUGCCCCCNNNNNNNNNNNNNNNNNNNNGCGAUCCCCACCCCACCCCAUUUGAGUGCAGAAAAAAGAACUCAAGGACAAAAUAAGAAGAGAAAAGACACAGAUGUUCCUGUGGGCAAAGACAAUAGGCUCCUCUUGAGGUUUUAGGUCCCAGGGACCACUUGCAAAUACCUCUCCAGUCUCCCUGCUUAGGAGUGUCCUCGACUAUCCACAAUGCAGACAGAUAGGAGUUCCUCCCAUCCCAGAGGUUCAAGGACAGCUCAGGGUUCUAUAACAAGAUUCCCCCACUCCCACAUCCUCUCUCCCACCUCCGCAAAGAUGAGGCAUAGCACAUUAACAAGAUAGCUGUUCCCCUAUUUCCCCUGAUCCUGCCCCCCCCCCCCCCCCAGCCAACAGGGCAGUAAAUGGGCACACAGCAGGCUGUGGUCUAAAGUAAACUCUUUAAU
rnacentral:lncRNA from 1 species